rnacentral:rRNA from 1 species
UACGAAGGGGGCUAGCGUUGUUCGGAAUUACUGGGCGUAAAGCGCGUGUAGGCGGGUCUUUAAGUCAGGGGUGAAAUGCCAAGGCUCAACCUUGGAACUGCCUUUGAUACUGGAGAUCUUGAGUCCGGGAGAGGUGAGUGGAAUUCCCAGUGUAGCGGUGAAAUGCGUAGAUAUUGGGAGGAACACCAGUGGCGAAGGCGGCUCACUGGACCGGUACUGACGCUGAUGCGCGAAAGCGUGGGGAGCAAACAGG